AGAGUUUGAUCCUGGCUCAGGAUGAACGCUAGCUACAGGCUUAACACAUGCAAGUCGAGGGGAAACGAUAGAGAAAGCUUGCUUUUUCUAGGCGUCGACCGGCGCACGGGUGAGUAACGCGUAUCCAACCUGCCCACCACUUGGGGAUAACCUUGCGAAAGUAAGACUAAUACCCAAUGACGUCUCUAGAGGACAUCUGAAAGGGAUUAAAGAUUUAUCGGUGAUGGAUGGGGAUGCGUCUGAUUAGCUUGUUGGCGGGGUAACGGCCCACCAAGGCUACGAUCAGUAGGGGUUCUGAGAGGAAGGUCCCCCACAUUGGAACUGAGACACGGUCCAAACUCCUACGGGAGGCAGCAGUGAGGAAUAUUGGUCAAUGGGCGAGAGCCUGAACCAGCCAAGUAGCGUGCAGGAUGACGGCCCUAUGGGUUGUAAACUGCUUUUAUAAGGGAAUAAAGUGAGCCUCGUGAGGCUUUUUGCAUGUACCUUAUGAAUAAGGACCGGCUAAUUCCGUGCCAGCAGCCGCGGUAAUACGGAAGGUCCGGGCGUUAUCCGGAUUUAUCGGGUUUAAAGGGAGCGUAGGCCGGAAAUUAAGCGUGUUGUGAAAUGUAGGUGCUCAACAUCUGCACUGCAGCGCGAACUGGUUUCCUUGAGUACGCACAAAGUGGGCGGAAUUCGUGGUGUAGCGGUGAAAUGCUUAGAUAUCACGAAGAACUCCGAUUGCGAAGGCAGCUCACUGGAGCGCAACUGACGCUGAAGCUCGAAAGUGCGGGUAUCGAACAGGAUUAGAUACCCUGGUAGUCCGCACGGUAAACGAUGGAUGCCCGCUGUUGGUCUGAAUAGGUCAGCGGCCAAGCGAAAGCAUUAAGCAUCCCACCUGGGGAGU
rnacentral:rRNA from 1 species